AGCUUUGCGCAGUGGCAGUAUCGUAGCCAAUGAGGUUUAUCCGAGGCGCGAUUAUUGCUAAUUAAAUCCUCUUCUUUCUUUAUUCAAACAACUUCUUAUCAAUUCCUUUUAUAAAAUUUUUUAUAAUUUUUAUCUUUACAG